CGAGUUCCCAGCCGAUAGCGAACAAGUAGAGUGAUCGAAAGAUGAAAAGCACUUUGAAAAGAGAGUUAAACAGCACGUGAAAUUGUUGAAAGGGAAGCGUUGUCCACCAGACUCGCCCGGGGGGGUUCAGCCGGCACGUGUGCCGGUGUACUCCUCUCCGGGCGGGCCAGCACGGUUUGGGCGGCUGGUGAAAGGCCCCGGGAAUGUGCCACCCUUCGGGGUGCCUUAUAGCCCGGGGU
rnacentral:rRNA from 1 species